rnacentral:lncRNA from 1 species
AUGCCAGCAGCUCCACACCCCAAGGCAGCCAGUCCCAUAACUCCUCCCACCUGCCCACACCUACUCUGGUGGGAUUGGCUGCCAGAACCAGCCUGCACCUCCAGCUCUCUCAGUGGUCCAUUGAACAGGAAGUCUCUAUGCUUGCAUGCGCAGGGAGCUGCCAUUUUGUAUCAGCCGCCAUUUCGUGGCAGGGACCAUGCACUGCAGUCUCAGUACACUGCUAGGCUAACUUAUGAAGUACUCAGGAAGAUAUGUAAGAUAUACCUGCAAGAUAAUGCAGAGGAGAUUGCAGCAACAUUUAUGAGGAACAGAGCUCACGUGGCUCAGAUGAGCAGAACUGCAGCAGGCAUGAUCUCCAGCUCCCAGUGCUGCCUUCCCUGCCACUGGCUGCCAGCAAGAGAGGCCGUCCAACAGCAAGGAACACUCCAAGUGCUCAGCACCCUCCUCCUGCAGCACACCAAGGCCUCUGACUUGCUCUAUGGACUGGGCUGCUGGCAGCACGAGCUUAGCUCAGGAGGAGAUGUUCCUCAGUCCCGCAAGAUGCUCCCACCAGCCCCACCACCACGGCAGGACGACCCACAACUCCUCCCUCCUGCCCACACCUACUCUGGUGGGAUUGGCUCCCAGAACCACCCCGCAACUCCAGCUCUCCCAGUGAACAGGAAGUCUGUCUUGUUGCGUGCACUGGGAGCCACCAUUUUGUGUCAGCCGCCAUUUUGUGACAGGAGCAGGUGCUGUUUGCGCAGUGCCCUCUGAUUGGCUGUGUGCAGUGACAGCCACGUGUCCUUUGCUUGCCCUCUGAUUGGUGCCGCAUUGCCUGUGUGACUGGAAGCGCUAACUUUUGUAAAUACCCUCUUACGACACGUGCAGCACACACAGCUACACAUACAGAUAUUCAUACAUGACUGUAUGCAAACAUUUGUCAGCAAAUGUUAGCUCGUAGGCAUUUAUCUAGUAAUGUAACAUAUAAUCCAUAUGUGUAUAUGCAUUUAUAAGAGCAGUGAAGAUAAAUAUCUACCUAUCUGCAAAAUUACAAGUGGUAAGCAGAUGAAAAUAUCAGCAGGUAGAACUGGUGGAGCACAUAAUAAAGAUUGUAAAUGACAGGCA